rnacentral:rRNA from 1 species
UACGAAGGGGGCUAGCGUUGUUCGGAAUCACUGGGCGUAAAGCGUAUGUAGGCGGAUUGUUAAGUCAGGGGUGAAAUCCCGAGGCUCAACCUCGGAACUGCCUUUGAUACUGGCUGUCUUGAGUCCGGGAGAGGUGAGUGGAACUCCUAGUGUAGAGGUGAAAUUCGUAGAUAUUAGGAAGAACACCAGUGGCGAAGGCGGCUCACUGGCCCGGAACUGGACGCUGAUGUACGAA